GACGAACGCUGGCGGCGUGCCUAAUACAUGCAAGUCGAACGAGAGCGACCGGUGCUUGCACUGGUCAAUCUAGUGGCGAACGGGUGAGUAACACGUGGGUAACCUGCUCAUCAGAGGGGGAUAACAUCCGGAAACGGAUGCUAAAACCGCAUAGGUCUUCGAGCCGCAUGGCUUGAAGAGGAAAAGAGGCGCAAGCUUCUGCUGAUGGAUGGACCCGCGGUGCAUUAGCUAGUUGGUGAGGUAACGGCUCACCAAGGCCGUGAUGCAUAGCCGACCUGAGAGGGUGAUCGGCCACAUUGGGACUGAGACACGGCCCAAACUCCUACGGGAGGCAGCAGUAGGGAAUCUUCCGCAAUGGACGCAAGUCUGACGGAGCAACGCCGCGUGAGUGAAGAAGGUUUUCGGAUCGUAAAACUCCGUUGUUAGAGAAGAACAAGUGCUAGAGUAACUGUUAGCGCCUUGACGGUAUCUAACCAGAAAGCCACGGCUAACUACGUG
rnacentral:rRNA from 1 species